CCGCCAGCUUUCUGAGCUUUGGGAAAAGACCUAGGGGCGGAGCGCGGCUGGACGGCGGGUACGCGUGCGUAGUGCUUGACCACGCCCCCUGGAGCAUCGAAGCUCCCAUUGGUCCGAGGGCGGAGGCGUGUCCCUGGAGCCAAUCAGAGGAGGCAGCUCUGCCCCGCCCCCGGCCUUGGGGGUCUCGCCUCUGCCCCGGCGACCCCGGAGGGGUCCAGCCCAGCCGGGGUGGGGGUCGUUCCUGCUGCGUCAUCCCCGGGGAGGUCGGCGCUGUCUGUGUCGCAGGACUAGGAGUCGGGAGCUCCCGAUGGCCUCGCGGCGCCUCCCCUCCGGCUCUGCCAGGUAUCCUGGAUGCUAACCCAGUCAUCACAUUUGGCGCCUGAGCGUGGGACCCGAGGACCCUAACUUCACUGAAGAAGUCUCCGGUGACCAGGAAAUAGGGGAUUAGUGACCUUCCGGGACGUGGCUGUGGACUUUACCCCGGAGGAGUAGGGGCACCUGGACCUGGCCCAGGAGGAGCUGGACUGGGAGGUGAUGCUGGAGAACUACCGGAACCUGACCUGCCUGGGGCUUACUGUCUCCAGUCCCCAUGUGGUCUGCCAGCUGCAGCAAGGGGAAGGACUGUGGGUGCCUGAGGGAGACUCCCCAGGAAGCAGCCAUGUUGGUAAGGGAACUACACCCAAAAACAAGGAGCCAUCAUUGAAGCUGGGUCUUGUUGUUGGAGAAUCACUUUGGGAAGGACUAAUGGAGCACAGUCCCCAUGUCUUCAGGAUGGGAGAAGCCUGGAAACUGGAGACCACUUUAGAGAAACAGCAAGACAUAGAGGAGAAGGGUCUUCAUAAAUGGCACUUACCUAAAAAGGAAAAGCAUAAUACAUGUUGGAAACUGUGAUGAUAACUUGGGCUUUACUGAAUAUCAUACUGCAAAGAAACCAUAUGAAUGCCAUGAAUGCAGGUAGGCCUUCCCAUGGCCUUCCCAGCUUGCUGAACAUCAGCUAAUUCAUGCAAGGGAGAAAUCUUAUGAAUGUGAGGUAUGUGAGAAGGCCUUCUGCUGAAAUUCACAGCUUAUUCAACAUCAGAGAAUUCACACUGGAGAGAAGCCUUAUGAGUGUAAUGAAUGCGGGAAAGCUUUCAGCCAUAGCACACAACUCAAUCGACAUCAGAGAAUUCACACCAAAGAGAAACCAUAUGAAUGCAAUGAAUGUGAGAAGACCUUUCAUCAGAGAGCGCACCUUACAUAACAUCAUACUGUUCAUAAUGGAGAGAAGCCUUAUGAAUGCAAUGAAUGUGGAAAAGCUUUUAGGCAAAGCGUAGGACCUAUAGGACAUCUGAGAAUACACACUGGGGAGAAGCCUUAUGAAUGCAAAGAAUGUGGGAAGACCUUCCGCCUGAUAACAGGACUUAUUGAACAUCAGCAAAUUCACCUGGGAGAAAACCCUAUGAAUGUAACCAUUGCGGGAAGGCCUUCACCAAGCAUACACAGCUUAACAGAUAUCAUAAAAUUCACACUGCAGAGAAACCUUAUAAAUGCAACAAAUGUGGGAAGGCCUUUGGGCAGAAAGCACACCUUACUCAACACCAGACUGUUCAUAUUGGUGAGAAGCCUUAUGAAUGUAAUGUAUGUGGAAAAGGUUUUAGCCAAAGAACAGGACUUAAUGGACACCUGAGAAUUCAUAUUGGAGAGGAACUUUAUGCAGUGUAAUAAAAUUGUGAAAACCUU